rnacentral:tRNA from 1 species
CCCCUCAUAGCUCAACUGGCAGAGCAACUCCCUCUUAAGGAGAUGGUUCCAGGUUCAAAUCCUGGUGAGGGGA